GGCAAUGAAAGGCCAACAGUGGGGUGAGUAGGGUUUAAAAUGUUGGCAAUAUUUUUGACAAAGCAAACAAUUGAUGAAAAAAGUUGACGCAUUAAUCUAGCAAAAUCAAAGCAAUCAGUGAGGAAAUCAAAGCACCGGCCAAAGAUGAAGAUUAGUAGUGAAGCAUAGGUGAUCAAUGGCAGCGAAGUGGGUGAAAAGGCGAAGAGAUGAGCUCAUUGGUCCCUAAAAUGUCUCGGCCGAGCACCAGAACCCAGGAGUCGGCAGCUAACCCACUUUGUUAAACUUUAUUGCAUCUGGGCUUUAGCCUUUUCCUUCUUUCUUUCUUUCUUUCUUUUCUUUUCUUCCUAGGGUCUUCCAAAAAUUGAGGGAUUUUUUGAGUUUUUGUCAUAAUUAGAUUUUCUAUUCUGUUUGGUUGUACAAGAAUUUCUAUUAAGCACAAAGUUUGGAUUUUUAAUUGGUAUAACUGUUCAUUGGAUUGGAAAAACAGCUUUUCAAUCAUCAAUUUUUCUAGCUUUUCUUGGGGGGUCUUAGGAUAGAGGGGAUUGAAUAAUGGGAAAUGUAUUUGUGAAGAAACCAAAAAUAACAGAGGUGGAUCGGGCAAUCCUCUCCCUCAAGACCCAAAGGCGUAAGCUUGCUCAAUACCAGCAACAGUGUUUCAGCUGGAGAAUGUGAUUGAGGCUGAGAAGCAAGCUGCAAGGGACCUGCUUCGUGAAAAGAAGAAAGAUGGGGCCUUACUAGCAUUGAAAAAGAAGAAAGUACAGGAAGAACUAUUAAAGCAAGUAGAUACCUGGCUCAUUAAUGUUGACAGCAAGUGAUUCCUUCUUUAUGUUUUUUUUUUUUUUUUUUUUUCAUGUUUAUCAUUCAUCCA